rnacentral:rRNA from 1 species
UGCCAGCAGCCGCGGUAAUACGGAGGUUGCAAGCGUUGUUCGGAAUUACUGGGCGUAAAGGGGGCGCAGGCGGUUCGAUUAGUCUGGAGUGAAAGCCCGGGGCUCAACCCCGGAAGUGCAUUGGAAACUGGCGAACUUGAGUACGGGAGAGGAAAGUGGAAUUCCGAGUGUAGGGGUGAAAUCCGUAGAUAUUCGGAGGAACACCAGUGGCGAAGGCGGCUUUCUGGACCGAUACUGACGCUGAGACGCGAAAGCGUGGGGAGCAAACAGGAUUAGAUA